rnacentral:rRNA from 1 species
GAUGAACGCUGGCGGCGUGCCUAAUACAUGCAAGUCGAGCGAACAGACGAGGAGCUUGCUCCUCUGACGUUAGCGGCGGACGGGUGAGUAACACGUGGAUAACCUACCUAUAAGACUGGGAUAACUUCGGGAAACCGGAGCUAAUACCGGAUAAUAUAUUGAACCGCAUGGUUCAAUAGUGAAAGACGGUUUUGCUGUCACUUAUAGAUGGAUCCGCGCCGCAUUAGCUAGUUGGUAAGGUAACGGCUUACCAAGGCAACGAUGCGUAGCCGACCUGAGAGGGUGAUCGGCCACACUGGAACUGAGACACGGUCCAGACUCCUACGGGAGGCAGCAGUAGGGAAUCUUCCGCAAUGGGCGAAAGCCUGACGGAGCAACGCCGCGUGAGUGAUGAAGGUCUUCGGAUCGUAAAACUCUGUUAUUAGGGAAGAACAAAUGUGUAAGUAACUAUGCACGUCUUGACGGUAACUAAUCAGAAAGCCACGGCUAAAUACGUG